GGUGGGGGGGAGGGGUGGCACGUCCCCAAGGAGGACAUCAUGGCCUCUGGGGUGAUGGCAAAUCCCCGUGGAGGCCACCAAUGUCCCCAUGGAGGCCACCAGAACCCCUGGGAGAUGCCACCAGGUCCCCACAGAGGCCACCAUGUCCCCAUGGAGGCCACCAGGUCCCCAUAGAGGCUACCACAUCACUUUAGAGACCACCAAAACCCCUGGGAGAGGCCACCAGGUGCCCAUGGAGGCCACCAAAAACCCUGGAUGGCCACCACAUCCAUAUAGAGGCCCCCAGAACCCCUGGGAGAUGCCCCCCAUGUCCACAUGGAGGCCACCACAUCUCCUCGGAGGCCACCAGAACCCCUUGGAGAUGCACCCCACGUCCCCGCGGAGGCCACCAGAGCCCCUGGGAGAUGCCCCCAGAACCCCUUGGAGGCCCCCAGGUCCCCAUGGAGGCCACCAGAACCCCAUGGAGGCCCCCAGGUCCCCUGGGAGAUGCCCCCCAUGUCCCCACGGAGGCCCCCAUGUCCCCGCGGAGGCCCCUAGA